UGAAGCUUCGGCAGAUUUAGCUUGUUUCUAGUGGCGGACGGGUGAGUAACGCGUGGGUAACCUGCCUUAUACUGGGGGAUAACAGCCAGAAAUGACUGCUAAUACCGCAUAAGCGCACAGAACCGCAUGGUUCGGUGUGAAAAACUCCGGUGGUAUAAGAUGGACCCGCGUUGGAUUAGCUAGUUGGCAGGGCAGCGGCCUACCAAGGCGACGAUCCAUAGCCGGCCUGAGAGGGUGAACGGCCACAUUGGGACUGAGACACGGCCCAGACUCCUACGGGAGGCAGCAGUGGGGAAUAUUGCACAAUGGGGGAAACCCUGAUGCAGCGACGCCGCGUGAAGGAAGAAGUAUCUCGGUAUGUAAACUUCUAUCAGCAGGGAAGAUAAUGACGGUACCUGACUAAGAAGCCCCGGCUAACUACGUGCCAGCAGCCGCGGUAAUACGUAGGGGGCAAGCGUUAUCCGGAUUUACUGGGUGUAAAGGGAGCGUAGACGGCGCAGCAAGUCUGAUGUGAAAGGCAGGGGCUUAACCCCUGGACUGCAUUGGAAACUGCUGUGCUUGAGUGCCGGAGGGGUAAGCGGAAUUCCUAGUGUAGCGGUGAAAUGCGUAGAUAUUAGGAGGAACACCAGU
rnacentral:rRNA from 1 species